CGGAGCUUGCUCCACCGGAAAAAGAGGAGUGGCGAACGGGUGAGUAACACGUGGGUAACCUGCCCAUCAGAAGGGGAUAACACUUGGAAACAGGUGCUAAUACCGUAUAACAAUCGAAACCGCAUGGUUUUGAUUUGAAAGGCGCUUUCGGGUGUCGCUGAUGGAUGGACCCGCGGUGCAUUAGCUAGUUGGUGAGGUAACGGCUCACCAAGGCCACGAUGCAUAGCCGACCUGAGAGGGUGAUCGGCCACAUUGGGACUGAGACACGGCCCAAACUCCUACGGGAGGCAGCAGUAGGGAAUCUUCGGCAAUGGACGAAAGUCUGACCGAGCAACGCCGCGUGAGUGAAGAAGGUUUUCGGAUCGUAAAACUCUGUUGUUAGAGAAGAAUAAGGAUGAGAGUAACUGUUCAUCCCUUGACGGUAUCUAACCAGAAAGCCACGGCUAACUACGUGCCAGCAGCCGCGGUAAUACGUAGGUGGCAAGCGUUGUCCGGAUUUAUUGGGCGUAAAGCGAGCGCAGGCGGUUUCUUAAGUCUGAUGUGAAAGCCCCCGGCUCAACCGGGGAGGGUCAUUGGAAACUGGGAGACUUGAGUGCAGAAGAGGAGAGUGGAAUUCCAUGUGUAGCGGUGAAAUGCGUAGAUAUAUGGAGGAACACCAGUGGCGAA
rnacentral:rRNA from 1 species